rnacentral:rRNA from 1 species
UACGGAGGAUGCGAGCGUUAUCCGGAUUUAUUGGGUUUAAAGGGUGCGUAGGCGGACGCUUAAGUCAGCGGUAAAAUUGCGGGGCUCAACCUCGUCGAGCCGUUGAAACUGGGUGCCUUGAGUGGGCGAGAAGUACGCGGAAUGCGUGGUGUAGCGGUGAAAUGCAUAGAUAUCACGCAGAACUCCGAUUGCGAAGGCAGCGUACAGGCGCCCAACUGACGCUGAAGCACGAAGGCGUGGGUAUCGAACAGG